CCGACGCGGAGAGCGGCUCUAGGUGGGUUUGGCCGGCGGCGAGGACACCGCCGCUCCCUCUAGGGUCGCUCGGAGCGUGA
ensembl:miRNA